rnacentral:rRNA from 1 species
CCUACGGGUGGCAGCAGUGAGGAAUAUUGGUCAAUGGACGAGAGUCUGAACCAGCCAAGUAGCGUGAAGGAUGACUGCCCUAUGGGUUGUAAACUUCUUUUAUAUGGGAAUAAAAUGUUCCACGUGUGGGAUUUUGUAUGUACCAUAUGAAUAAGGAUCGGCUAACUCCGUGCCAGCAGCCGCGGUAAUACGGAGGAUCCGAGCGUUAUCCGGAUUUAUUGGGUUUAAAGGGAGCUUAGGUGGAUUGUUAAGUCAGUUGUGAAAGUUUGCGGCUCAACCGUAAAAUUACAGUUGAAACUGGCAGUCUUGAGUACAGUAGAGGUGGGCUGAAUUCGUGGUGUAGCGGUGAAAUGCUUAGAUAUCACGAAGAACUCCGAUUGCGAAGGCAGUUCACUGGACUGCAACUGACACUGAGGCUCGAAAGUGUGGGUAUCAAACAGGAGUAGAUACCCCAGUAGUC